AAAUUGAAGAGUUUGAUCAUGGCUCAGAUUGAACGCUGGCGGCAGGCCUAACACAUGCAAGUCGAACGGUAGCACAGAGGAGCUUGCUCCUUGGGUGACGAGUGGCGGACGGGUGAGUAAUGUCUGGGAAACUGCCCGAUGGAGGGGGAUAACUACUGGAAACGGUAGCUAAUACCGCAUAACGUCGCAAGACC
rnacentral:rRNA from 1 species